rnacentral:rRNA from 1 species
AGUUCGAUUAUGGCUCAGGAUUGAACGCUGGCGGGAUGCUUUACACAUGCAAGUCGAACGGCAGCACGGACUUCGGUCUGGUGGCGAGUGGCGAACGGGUGAGUAAUGUAUCGGAACGUGCCUAGUAGCGGGGAUAACUACGCGAAAGCGCAGCUAAUACCGCAUACGCCCUUCGGGGGAAAGCGGGGGACCUCGGGCCUCGCACUAUUAGAGCGGCCGAUAUCGGAUUAGCUAGUUGGUGGGGUAACGGCUCACAAGGCGACGAUCCGUAGCUGGUUUGAGAGGACGACCAGCCACACUGGGACUGAGACAUUUGGCCCAGACUCACGGGAGGCAGCAGGGGAAUUUUGGACAAUGGGGGAAAACCCGGAUCCAGCCAUCCCGCGUGUGCGUAUGCCAUGCCUUGGCUGAAAAGCACUUUGCAGGAAAGAAACGGCACGGGAUAAUACCCCGUGCAACUGACGGUACCUGCAGAAUAAGCACCGGCUAACUACGUGCCAGCACGGCAAUACGCUGGUAAAAGCGUUAACUGGAACUAUUGGGGUAAAGCGCAUACGGCCCGGUGAAAGAUGCGUGAAAUCCAGAUUAAUCUGAACCGUACUUGUCCACUGAGCUGAGCAAGUCAGAUAUGGAAUCACACAUACAGCAACGCGUAGAUAUGCGAUAACAUCAUAUGGGCGGUAUUCCGCAGAUGUCAGAUCGACCGCCCAGCACGAAAGCGUGGGAGCAAACAGGAUUAGACACCGGUAGUCCACGCUCAAACGAUGUCAACUAGCUGUUGGGGCUCGCCUUAGUAGCGCAGCUAACGCGUGAAGUUGACCGCCUGGGGAGCAUGGUCGCAAAGAUUAAAACUCAAAGGAAUUGACGGGGACCCGCACAAGCGGUGGAUGAUGUGGAUUAAUUCGAUGCAACGCGAAAACCUUACCUACCUCAGUGACAUGUUCAAAUCGAAGAGAUUUGGGAGGCAGUUCUCGCAAGAGAACUGGAACACAGGUGUUGCAUGGUUGUCGUCAGUCGUGUCGUGAGAUGUUGGGUUAAGUCCCGCAACGAGCGCAACCCUUGUCAUUAGUUACGAAAGGGCACUCUCUAUCGAGACUGCCGGUGACAAACCGGAGGAAGGUGGGGAUGACGUCAAGUCCUCAUGGCCCUUAUGGGUAGGGCUUCACACAUGUCAUACAAUGGUCGGGACAGAGGGUCGCCAACCCGCGAGGGGGAGCCAAUCCCAGAAACCCGAUCGUAGUCCGGAUCGCAGUCUGCAACUCGACUGCGUGAAGUCGGAAUCGCUAGUAAACGCGGAUCAGCAUGUCGCGGUGAAUACGUUCCCGGGUCUUGUACACACCGCCCGUCACACCAUGGGAAAGGGCUUUACCAGAAGUAGUUAGCCUAACCGUAAGGAGGGCGAUUACCACGGUAGGAUUCAUGACUGGGGGAAGUCGUAACAAGGUA